UGCACAUGGGUGGCUGCACGCCGCCGCCGCUCUAACAGGAAAUACACGCCCGACCUGGGGUGGGGUCUUUUGUGUGGUCCUGCGGGGCGUCUGGCAGGAGCCCCGGGGCGCACCGGCCACGGGGGGCGGCCCUGCACGCGAUGCCAAGCAAGACUCCCUGUGCCCCCGGCAGCGGGCACACAGGCGCCCAGGUUUGCCUUUCCAGAUCAAGAGGGAGUCCACGUGAAACGUACUGUGGUGCAGGCGGGAGUUCCCACAGAGAUGCCGGAGUUGGACGCUCCCAGAGAGAACGCCCUGAAUGCACUCUGCCCCGAGUUGGGCGCCCCACCGUCUUGGACAGAAACCCUCCUUCCAGUGGUACCCUGGAGGUGAUAUGCCCUGGAAGCGAUCUCAGAAGGGGCAGGGCACUUGCAGGCCAGAACCCAGUUCUCCUAUGAGAUUGGCAGUGUCUGAGCCUGGCCCAGAAGGAAUGGGUUCUAAAUUCUUAAACUGUAAAGAAUUUAAACUGUAACUCUUAAUGCUUAAUCCAAAAGCAGCCCAGUCCUGCAGAAAAUUGUUACUGGAAAUCCAGAUUGAGAUUCAUUAAAAAAAUUAAAAAAUGUC